rnacentral:rRNA from 1 species
AAGGGAGGCUAAUACUGGAUACGUUCUUCGGAUCGCAAGGUCUGGAGAGGAAAGGUAGCGAAAGCUGCCGCUCUUGGAGGGGCUCGCGGCCUAUCAGCUAGUUGGUGAGGUCACGGCUCACCAAGGCGAUGACGGGUAGCUGGUCUGAGAGGACGACCAGCCACACGGGAACUGAGACACGGUCCCGACUCCUACGGGAGGCAGCAGUGGGGAAUUUUCCGCAAUGGGCGAAAGCCUGACGGAGUGACGCCGCGUGGGGGACGAAGGCCUUCGGGUCGUAAACCCCUGUCAGAGGGAAAGAAGGGUGUCGGUGUGAAUAGCGCCGGCAUCUGACGGUACCUUCAGAGGAAGCCCCGGCCAACUCUGUGCCAGCAGCCGCGGUAAGACAGAGGGGGCAAGCGUUGCUCGGAAUCACUGGGCGUAAAGGGCGCGUAGGCGGGAUGGCAAGUCGGUCGUGAAAUCCCUCGGCUCAACCGAGGAGCGUCGGCCGAUACUGCCGUUCUUGAGGGAUGCAGAGGAGACUGGAAUUCCCGGUGUAGCGGUGAAAUGUGUAGAGAUCGGGAGGAACACCGGUGGCGAAGGCGGGUCUCUGGGCAUCUCCUGACGCUGAGGCGCGAAAGCGUGGGGAGCAAACGGGAUUAGAUACCCCGGUAGUCCACGCUGUAAACGAUGACGACUAGGUGUGGGGUGGUUCAGUCCACUCCGUGCCGCAGCUAACGCAUUAAGUCGUCCGCCUGGGGAGUACGGCCGCAAGGUUGAAACUCAAAGGAAUUGACGG